UGAAAAUGUUUUCAAUUACUAAGUUUUUCUUAAAACACCAAAAUCCUCCCCUCCAGCUUUAAGAUGUUUUACUCCCAGCCUAGUACCCAAAAAAAGGGGAAAGGAAAACAAGAAUCUUUGUGCCUGCCCUUUGCAUGACCCAGGACUCCGGUGCCAAUGAAAAGAACACAAUCCUGAGGCCAAACUCAGCCUCUACCCUGGACAUCACAGAAUCCUGAAUAGACUUCGGAAGAGCUGUGACCUAGGAUGGAGGCUGUCAAUCAAGGGGCACUGCCUCCCCUCAGAAGGCUGGGAAGGAAAGGUUGAAAGGGUUCAAGGAAGGGCUUUGCUGAAGGCAAAGAAGAUGAAGAGAAGAGAGAGAGCUCUGAACCUCUGGGCUGGUGCAGGAGAGGGAGCCGAGCCAGUUCCCGAGCAGCCCCCAGAGAAGAGGUGUGAGAUCUCUUGCGGCUGUGACCACCUGAUCUGAGCUGUCUACUGAGUGCCUUGUCUCCCAGAAGGAGUGGAUGGGAGACGCCAACCCCGUGCUUCUCAGUCUCUCCUGAAGGUCUAACGCCGGCCACCCUGCAGUGCAGAUCACAGGUCUGCCAGUGAAAUAAUGGAAACUUUCCGGGAGCAAGAAGCUAAAAGAUUUUUGUCAAGACAAAUGCUCAGCAUAAGGAAAAUGAAGGUAAAUUAACUAACACCAGAGACCACAGCUGCUAGGUCAAUGUAGGAUGAGCUGUAAGAAACAAGUGACAUCGUGAAGCCCUGGUACUGGACAAGAAGUUAAUGUUUAUAUUGAGAACAGCUGGACUAGAAAUUCUUUGAGGCCAGAGGCUGUGGUUUGCGUUUCCCCUGAAUCUCCUACAGCUUCCAACACAAUGCUGAACAUAGUGAGUAUCCAACACCUGUAACAACUAUUUUUACACUUGAUCUUAGGCAAAAGGCCAAGAAGAAAUACGUAACAACUAUUUUUGACGGAUAUGAACAGAAAUCUUCUGUUCUGUUAAGUAUAUUUUAAAAUACCAAAG
rnacentral:lncRNA from 1 species